CAGCGGGGAAACAAAACCAAACACAAUUACAUUUCCUGGAGAACUGCAUUCUGUUAAGACUUUGAGCCUUGUUUCCUGUGGCUUCUCUUGAUACAAACCCACGUGAGCAAACUCCCUGCACAUCCCACACCCAGCCAUCAAUCUCCUGUCUCCUCCCUGCUAACUCGCAGUCUUUCCAUGCACUGCCUUCACAGGAAAACACCAAGAUCCUCAUUUAUACCCAGCCCCCCAAGAAGCAGCUUCCCUUCUGCCCGCGCUGUGACGGCAGGCCGAAGAUGAAGGCUUUUCUUCUCUCCCUGCUGGUGGCGGUUCUGUGUGUGGAGCAAGCUCACUCGCUGGUGUGCUUCACCUGUAAGGAAAAGUCCUCCAACUGGGCUUGUCUGGCACCAGCUAUAUGUCCCAGUGAUGCAAACUACUGUGUGACCACGUAUCUUGGUGCAGGAAUUGGUAAGCUUGGGCAUGCUCUGUCUAUUGUCUUUCCAUAGCGUUUUCCCAGAUGACGUGCUGCUCCCGUUCCAGAUCAGUAGGUUUUCUUUCCUCCUUCUGCUGGAAGGAUGGGACAUUGCUGAUGUGGAACUGGGGAAUCAGUCCUUGAAACCGAAUGGUAGGCGCAGCCGAGGGAGUGACUUGGAGGGCAGCGCAGGCAAUGUCAGGCUUCCUGUACGCCAAUGGGGGGGGCUCCAUAUCUACCCCUCCAGCCUUGGCUGAAGUCCUGAAAUGAGGCUCUUUAUAGCCCAGUCCUGCAGAUGCUCCCCAGCAGUGGGUUGUGCUACUGCUGAGGUGGGCGAGGGCUGGGACUGAGUCCCCACCUGCUCCUCAGCGGCCCUGCAGGGGCUGCCAUGGGUGUCAAAGGGAAGGAGGCUGCCUGCCUGAGUGGCUGCCAGCCUUGAACGGUGCGAGGGAGCAGUUAGAAAGGGCUCCGUGGAUCCUCUGCUUCUCAGCAGUGGUUCUCAGGGAAGCAGCCUCUUCUGCUCUGCUGCAUUCUUGUGGCAUCGAGCCCACCCCCCUUUCCCUCUGGUUUGUUGGGGGGAAAAGAUGGCUGCCUUUGUCCCUGGACCGCAGGGGAAAGGACGUCUCCCAGCUGUGCCCCUCCUGCGCCUGAUUGCACCCAGCGGCAAUUAUACACAAGUGUAAAUGUCGUUGCCAGCCUCUGCAUUUUGAGCGGACUGUGAGUAGCCAGUUCCUGGGGAGGCUCACUGAUACUACUUGCCAUGUGGUUCAGUUAACAAAAGGAGUGGCAGGCUAUUGAGUUGUGCAGGGAACUCGCCCAGGGGAUGAGAAUGUUAGGCUCUGGUAGAGGCCUCCCUACAGGAUGGGGGAGCAGGCAGAUACCGGACACAGUGUUGGUAUAUAAUACUUUAAAUAUUUGUAUUGAUUACAGUAUAAACCCCACUCACUCCACAUUCACACUCCUUUCAUACUACACCAGAAUCAGAAGAUCCAAAAGACAUCCCAUUGGCCAGUCAAAAUUCAGUCCGAUCACAAGGCGUGGGCAGGCCGCCAUAAUCCAAGACGUUCCAUUUCCCCCAAUUCUUGCAUAACGGCAGAGCUGGUGUUAUUCCCUUCCUGUUAAUUCUUUCUAUUCCCCACGGACAUAAGUUGUUUUUGCGCAGACAAUUCUUGACCGCUCAUAACCAUGACUCCUUGCUUCAGCUGCCAGCACUCAACUCACGCCCUCAUGUCAAACACACAGCAUUUAUACUGGGCCCAUAUGGCCUAUCGCGUAUUACAACAUAUACAUCACAACAAGACCAGUUGGACGGCAGGCCGCUGUAACUGCCCUGCAUAACUGACAUUAUGGGCCUUGCUUUCCCGGUCUGGCCUGCUUUCACACCCAGGGAAGCCAUGCGAUGGUUUAAGCACCAAACAUCUCACGUGCUGGUGCAAGGUUCCGCUAUUGGCGUGUGCAAGUGAGAGAAUUUGCACGCUCCAAUCCCAGUGCCUGGCUGGUUGUGCAUGGACAAAAGGAGGCCGGGUUGAAGCCUUUUUGGGUAUAUUGGUGUCUGCUGCUUAACGAGCUCUGCUGUGACCUAGCUACUGUUGUAGGAACAGCAGUGAUCUGUAUGCUCUGUGUUACUAUGCUCUGUAUAACCUCUAUGCUCAAAAGGUCUGUUACACUUCCCCUCCUUCCCCCUUUUGUCUCCUCUCCCUCCUUGAAUUACUGUGAAGUGGCUUUCUCCCUCCCCCUCCCUCCUGGAAUGCUUGUGGGAUGAAUGGGCUGGUUGAACAGCUGGAAGAUCAGAAGAGUUCCCAGGUAGACAAGGUGUCUGGGACUCUAAUUAGGCAGCGAUCACACACCCAAUGCAUGGACCCUGCUUGGACACUGUCUGCGGUGGAGUGUGAGCAACCAGAUGCGGCCAAGUCAUCUCUAGUCGCAGGCCAUGAGGAGCAGGUCCUUAAAAGUGGAAGAGGCCAUGUGCACAGGAGUGCACUCACCAGCCUGUACCUCCCGAGAAGGCCCUUCGCCCGGACCGCCUGGCCAGUGGUUCGCCGCAUUGCAUUCCAUCGUGCCUCGGGAAGACUUACCUUCAUACACUUACCUUGAAGAAUCAAGACAUCUCCACUGCUGUGCCUGUCCUGGGAGCGUGAGUAUGCGAGUGUGAGUGUGACACCCCUCCCGCCCGCCCCUUUUUUUUUCAGCUUAGCUAUCAAUAUAACAAACAUGCUGCUUUCUGCCAAACUCUGGAGGGUCAUUAGUCCUCCCUAAGCUGACUAGCUGGCCCAAUUUCGGGUAACAACUACUACCAGCUCUUUAAAGCUUUGACACUCAAGAGCAGGAGACAGGACUCAGUCACCUCUGUGCUGCAUUCCCACAGCCCCCACUGAACUCCCAAAGCCCUGUCCCAGCAUGCAGUGGGCAGUGUGACAAUCUGGAAUGGAUUCUCAGGUUUCUUUGGGUGUUCCCUCCUCCUGGCCAGGAAUCUGAAGGGGAUGUUCCCAGAUUGUUACGUACGGGUCUGUAACUGCUAGGAAGAGACUAGUGCUGUUUUCAUGGUAUAUAAUAGCAGUAGUGACCUCUAAAGGCUGGGCAUUCACUGGUAGAGAUCAGGCUGUGAGGCCAUUAACUGCUGAGAAAUGGCCUCCUCAUCUCAGGAUUGAUUAGCUACAUCGGUACAAUUAUCUCCUUUGCAGAGCUAAGGAGCUCCUGUCCGAACUCUGGGAAACAUUUUAAUCUUGAGUCUCUUUCUCUUGUUUCUUUUUCCGGUACAGGUGGAUAUUCUGGUCAGAGCAUCUCCAAGGGGUGUGCUUCAGUUUGCCCCAGCUGUGGGAUAAACAUAGGGAUACUAGCCGCCUCUGUUUCCUGCUGCAGUUCAUUCUUGUGCAACAUCAGCGGGGCCAGCAGCGUGAAAGUCAGCUACUCGGUGCUGGCCAUGGCGAUCUUGGCCAGCUUCGUCUAUAUCAGGGCCGGACUGUGAUCGGGUCAGGAAAAAGAACUUGAUGCCCUGAAGAACCUGCUCCGGCUUCUCCAACAAGACACCAAACCCCUCUCUGUGCAAAGCUAUACUGGGGUUACCAAUGGUACCCUUUCUUCCAACUCUGUCUCAGAUCCCAUUAGACAAUACCUGCCCUCUUGCCGUUCACAAGGAAAUCCUGCUGCUGUCACUGGGUGCCCCUCUGUGCCUCUCAGCAGAUCUGGAUGGCUGCUCCCAUGGGUUUGGGCACAGGAGGCCUGGGAAGCUCAAAUGAACAGUGCUGCCCCACUGGGGAGAUGUCCGCUUGCUCUCCUGCCCCAUCAGGAAAUGGUGGAUAAUGUUGGCAGGGUUUCUGCUUUUAUACCUGUAGUCCCAGUUGAUAGGGCUGAUUAAAAAAAAAAAGGUCAGAGCUCACCAGAAAAUGUUUAUCCCAAACCACCUCCAAAGCGGAAUACUUAAAGACCCCUGCCUCUUGCUACUGCAGAGACAUUUCCCAUCCACGUCACGCUAGGGUUCAGCGCCAGACUGACUGCCGGCAAGGCAUGAUCCAAAAACAGACCUCAGACACAUUCACCCCCGGUUGGAUUCUGGUUUUUUACAUUGUUUUCUUUAUUCUGCUCCUUGGACGACUUUUCUUAUGUAAAAGGAAUGCAGUGCUCGCACCGUGAGCAUCACACCUGAAUAAACACGUUCCCGUUCUUGCCUGA